AAAGUUUUAUUUUGGCUUGAAAUUUUAAUAUAUCAUUAUUUAAUAUGUAUCUUUUUUUUUAAAAAAUUUUAAAUUUCAGUUUUUUAUAUUAAAAAGUUAUUAAAGUAAGCUUUAGUAAUUGAUUAAAGAUUUAAUAAAAUUUGUGCCAGCAAUUGCGGUUAUACAAAUAAUUCAAUUAAAAUUUAUUGGUUAAUAAUUAAUUUUUUUAAAUAAAAUUAUUAUUAAAAUUUUUAAGUGAAAUUUAAAUUUUAAUAUAUUUUUGUUUUUAUUAUAUGAAGUUAUUAAAAUUAGCAUUAAACUAGGAUUAGAUACCCUAUUAUUUUAAUCAUAAAUUUAAAUACUUGAUUAGUAUUAGUUAUUUUCUUAAAAAUUAAAAAAUUUGGCGGUAUUUUAGUCUAUUCAGAGGAACCUGUUCUAUAAUUGAUAAUCCACGAUUAGUUUUACUUUUCUUUUAUACUUGUAUAUCGUUGUUUUUGAAUAUUUUAUAAGAAUUAGAAUUUUCAAUAAGUAUAUUUUAGUUUAUUUCAGAUCAAGGUGCAGUUUAUAGGUAAGAAGAAAUGGGUUACAUUAAAUUUAUUUUUGGUUUUUUAUUUUAAAGAAUUUUAUUAAAUUGGAUUUGAUAGUAAUAAUAUAUAUAUAUAUAUUAUGAUUUUAGCUCUAAAAUGUGUACAUAUUGCCCGUCACUCUCAUUAAUUUGAGAUAAGUCGUAACAAAGUAGAUUUACUGGAAAGUGUAUCUAGGAAUAA
rnacentral:ncRNA from 1 species